UGCAAUGUCAGUGCCCUGUUCUCCCCUGC
rnacentral:piRNA from 1 species